GGUGGCGGUGGUGGCGGCGGCGGAGGUGGCGGCGGCGGAGCAUCGUGUGGCCGGAAGAAGUGCCAACCGGUUCGAUGUAGGACGCCGACAACCAAGCCAGGGGACUGCUGUCCCCACUGCCCGUCAGGGGUCUACUGAGACCCACAGAACCCGCAACGCACUCCUUAACCCAUUUAUGCCUAGUGGACUCUCCCAUCCUGCUAAAUUGGAUCAAUUUAUUUCCAAAAUUAGGGAUCUCUAGUAAAUUUAUUUCUAUAUUUAGAAUAUUUCUUACAGAAAUUCCCUUAAGCAAACAGCGCAGACACUGAUGAGACGCCGCAUCAUGCGGUGUCUCAUCUGGAUCUAUGCUGUUUGCCAAUGCCUUUUUUCUGGACGCUAGGCAUAAAUGGGUAAAGAUUCGUUUUUACGUACAAGCGACCGAUCGUAAUCGGUCUCUAAGACCAAUACUGUGGGUGUUUUCUUCCUUGCAAAUGUUGACUCAUUCAAUAAUAAUUACAUAUGACGUUGA